rnacentral:lncRNA from 1 species
GUCAGAUGCCCCAGUGUGACAUUUGUUCACUGACACCUGCUGUACAUAAAUAUGGCACCUCACUCAUUCAGGUGUUCACUUAAUGAGUGUCUACUGCACACCUUUGGUGUCUCCCAGAGUUGGUCUUAGCUGCUGGGGGUACAGCGAGAAAUCAGGCAGACGGGGUCCUGUCCUCCCAAAGCCCACAGUCUGGUGAGGGAGACAGAGAAGUUAGUUACAGACAGUGGAAGUGUUAGGAUAGGGCAAUAACAGGUGCCACCAGAGCCCGAGAGGGGCAGUCCCUGACUCAGACUUGGCAACUUAGGAAGUCUUCCUGGAAGAAGUGAUAUCCAAGCUGAGGCCCGAUGAGUAACUAGGGUUAGGUGAAGGUGGGGUGGAGGGCACGUGCAAAGGCCCAGAGCUGAGAGCGAGCGUGGCUCGUCGGAGAACUGAAAUGCUGUAGAGCUAGCACACAGGUGCGUGAAGCCGUGGUGGGUGCAGUGAGAUGCUUAAAGAGGUCAGCAUGGUAAGGAGCUUUGCGUUUUAUCCUGAGGCAGUGGAGGGGGCACUGAAAGGUUUGAAGCAGAGGAGUGACAUGCCAGGGUUGUAUUUUAGGAUGCAAGCUCUGGUUCAUCCAGAAAUCUCCCUAAGCAUCCGUCACAUGCCUCAAAUAACAGAUAUUCAGUACGUAUUGCUCAGGGAAACAUCCCAGAGGGGAUGGGAACACCACAGCCUGCCUCCAAGGAAUCUCACCGUCAGCUGUAGCAACAACAUGAGCAUCAGGCAGCCACCUGGCACCAAGGGGCAAGAUGCUGUCCGCCCCAGAGGAGGCCUAUGGACCAGGGUGAAUGAGAGGAGUAAAUGAAACUUCGGCGUGGCGUGAAUAGUUGUGGAUGACUUCAGGAGUACCACUGCUGUGUAGACAGAACAGGUGAGCUAUGACCACCAGGUGGCAGCAGGGCUCUACCAAUUAGCUGAGGUAGGCUUGGGAGGUGCCAUGGAGUCAAACUGAAGUAAAUGCUCCGUGGUGCCAGGCAGGUGGUGCAAAUGAGAGGAAGACCCAGAUGAAAGACAUUAGGGAGUGGUGGGGACUGUGUUGGACCAGAGCAUACACGCUCAGUCUAAAUGAGCUUGCAGCUUCGUGGCUCCAACCGAUGUUGCCACAUCAGAAUGAGGGUCCAGUGGUACCAAACAUUCUGAUUUUUUAAGAGAAGCUGGAAACCAGGGUGUUUUUUAUUUUA